AGCCCACGUUCCGCUGUUCGCACUUCGCAGUCUCAUCACCACUCCGCCCAAUGACGAGGGUCACCUCGUCGCCGGCGUCUCAUCCUCUCCUCCCCCUCCCCGAAACCCAACCGAAUCCCAGGCUCGGCGGGAGAAGCGCCGGAGCCCGAGAAGAAGCGGCGUGAGCGCCUUCUCCAUUCGCUUCUCCGACCCCAUGGAGCAACCGGAAUGCGCUCGCUCGUCUCGGUCGCUCCAGUCGUCGAGCGGCGAUCCUCCCCAACGUUGGUAGCUUCUUUAGGGGGACCACUAGACCAGAAAGCAAUGUGGCAACUUUAUAGCCCGGUGUUUCCUCUACACAAUAAGGUCACUCUAUUAUUUCGUUUUCAUCUAGGAAUGGAAGUUAUAAUUUAAAAAAACUGAAGGAUGUCUCACAGAUUUAAUUUAUAGCUGUAUCCUGUAUUUCUGUGGGCCGGUGGGCCCACACAGAAGAUACCACUGGUCGAGCAUUAUAUAUUGUCAAGCAGUGGGGCAGGUAACAGUGUCCAUCUACUUGAUUUCCUGUAGAAGUCUCACCACACUGACUAAUGUGAUCAAGUGGGGCCCACAGAAAGUUACAUGAUGUCAGAUACUUAACUUGAGGCGCUGUUGGGCAGAUAACAACCGUCCAACUGCUUAACCUGCAUCAAAAUAGGUGCAGUCACAUAUUAGAGUGGGGUCCCUCCCCCUCUCUCUAAGGUGCUUUGCAUUUGAUUCUCAGAUAUGCAUAUUUAAAUUAAUUCUGGAUAGUUUAAUCUUCAACAUAUUAAGCAUAAAACUGUGCUAGUAUGUAAUAUUAUUCUUCUCAGUUGCUGCAAUGAUGUUAAAUCCAAAAGGUAGGAAAAUGAUGAAAAUUCAGUUGAAAGAGGUGAGGUAGUAGGCAUUAUGGUAAUUAAGGCUAUUGAACCAGAAUGUCUGAUCCAAGGAAAAGAAUAUCAGCUUAUUGUAUUUUAACCUACUAAAUGCGCAUAGCAUGCACUUGGCACAGCUGGGACUUGAUGCAGAUGUUAGAUUUUGGUAGUUUAUAUGACACCAAUUGCAAUUGGUUUGGGAACGAUUUAAACAUCUGUUGAGUUGAUCUUGGUUUAUUACAAGAUGCAUUAAUCUACUAUGAGUCCCUGUGCACAUUUUUCCUUGUAAAAUUUGACCUUACUACUAAGCAUGGAUGUCAUGUACCAAAGCACAAGCCUGCUACAUGAGAUACAUGCAUCACCGCUUCGUUGUAAAUGAUGUGUGGCUUAGCAUCUUUGAAAUUAGGCAAACAUUUUCUCAGCAAAAAGGAAAAUGAUUUCAUCAAAGGCUUACAUCUUUUUGCUAAGUUCACAACAAUUAUUUUGCCAAACUCAAACAUGUUACAUUAGCAAUAGUGAAUCUUCCUUAAUUACUUUUCUAUCAUCUUGUGUUUUUCCAUUGACAUAGAUUUAACUAAUCACCUGGCUUGUUUCGUUGCCAAGAGGUGCUGGUGAAACAUUUACAACCAGUAUAAGAUGACAUGGGUUAUGUGACCGUUCAUGUUAAGAUCAAAUGCAUCAAAGUGCAAAAGUAUAUGUGUAUCGUCAGGUACUCAGCUAUAUUUCUUCUUUGGAAUAAUUGAGCAAAUUUUGUAGUACCAUAAGAAUCGGAGUUGUUUGCUUAUCAUGUUAUUGUAACAAUAAAGUUCAAAGAUCUGUAUAUGUCUUAAAUGAUAUUUUUGCAACAGGAGGUUAUGUAAAGGGUUACCCACCAAAACAACAUGCAUCUUUUGCCUCUGGUAUAUCUGUCACCAACCUGUAGAGCCAAGAAGAAAAUAAGCAAGGCCCCACCUUUAGAUCUUUGAUCAGCAUCAGAACUACUCAUGCACAAUGCAAAUUAUUAAGUACGUAACUUCUUUUUGCUGAAAAAAGUUAAGAACGUAACUGUGUAGGUCAUAUAUGAAUUAAAAACAAUAAUAUUCAGGUAAGAGGUUAACUUUGGUGUUUCUAUUAAGGACAAAUGAGCUACACGUACACAGAUCACACUAAUAAAAACUAUUGUAUGAAUUGUUGAUAUAUAUUAUGGUGCCACAUUCUUAUUAGCUAGUAGCAGCCUAGAAUUUAAUCAAUUGACCAAACAAAAAACUUCAUUGCAGCGGACGACCAUCAUGUUGCUUUGGACCAUCCUAUUAAAGGUUAAUUUUAUGUUCGUAUAAUCAGUUGCAAUGAUUCUUCAUAUCUUCUGCUAGCUUGAUCGGCUUCUAGAUAUUCUUAGCUACAAAAUCUCAUAUUUUAUAUAUCUUCUAGAUAUUCCUAGCCACAAUUCUCAAGCUUAUACAUUCAAAUAGUAGUCAUCUUGUCUUCUGACAAAUUAAACAACCAUAAUUUUCAAUUGAGCAUUAGCAGUACACGAUGGUUUUCUUGAACUCUAGUCUAAGCAUUGUCAGCCUUUUCUCUCAUAGAUUCAGACUAUCACUUUGCAUGCAUGCAUAUUUGAUGUUUUUCAUGCCAAUCUUGUAAUUAAUGCUUUAUUCGAUAAAAUAUUUUUUAUGACAGUACCUUGUUAUGUUCAAUGAUUGUGGCAACUGAGAAUGAUGUCCCUAAAGUAGUCAGGUAGAAAAUAAAAUAAAUUCCAAUAUUGCUUAUUUUAUUUCCAAGCUACACAAUAUCAAUUUAACUGGUAAGUGGUAACUAAUGAAUUCUGUCAACAAAUGACGAUGUGAACAAAGAGACUUGGGUUAAGGGAACUACGGUGAUAGAAAAUAAUUAGGCUAUCACAGAAACUGUGCUUUCUUACCCAAUAGUACAAAACAAGAGUUCUUCAGAUGUUGAUGGAUGGAAAAGAAACACCCCCCUCCUUUUUCGAGAGGGCUGCAUUCCAAUCCUGCAGGUUGUCUAGGUAAGGGGUUCUUGAACUAUAAGCAUAACAAAAAAAAAAAAGUGGCAAGUAGUAUUCAUUGGUUUUUUCGCGAAAUGUGGCAUUGUUGUGAGUUUAAGAAUAAUGCAAUGCAACACUGUGCUUAAAUAAUAAAUAUAAUAAGCUCACCAAUGCAAAUAUUCCCUGUACUCUGGUUUGCUUGGACUUGGUGCGUCAGGAUCCACCAUAACCUUAUAAGAGGUAACUUUGUAUUUUAGUAUUUAGAUAUAGAUAGGACCAGUUAUACGUUUAUAAAAUAGCUGUGACUUAACUCUACAGAGCAAAUAUAUUAAAAAGAGAGAGAAUACUUUUGGUGGAAAUUUACUGUAUGAUGUGAUCUUUUGACGUUAGAGACCAUAAAAAAAGUUGUGACAAAACCCAAGUUCUUAAGUGUGGAUGCUUGUGUAUACAGUGUGCCACGAAUGUACUAUGUGCCUGUGAGCAAGAUAGGAAGAAAGGGGUGUGGAAGCUAUUUAUCUUGUGUCAUCUACUUCUCUUAGUUUUCUACCAUGGGUUUUGGGCUUGAAAUAUGGUUACGGGAUAUUCCUUGGGCAGUACAGUUAUUUAUCUAUGUCCAUGUCUAGUCAGUUCAGAAGAUGUUCAAAGGCAGCAAGUAUACAAACUUAAUGUGAGAGAUCUCCAAGCAACGCAUACACAUGUAAGGCCUUAUCCUAUCCAGUAUCCUUGCACAGUUGUACCACAGAGUACAAACAAGAUAGGGUGCAGAGGCAUAUUCUAAAGUAGCAUGUAGGAUAUAUGUACUUGAUCAUAAGCAAAAGGAUGCUAUGUGUUCGUUGUGCAGUAGAUGGAUCCUCUUCUUUGUUCUCACUACAAUAUUCUGUGCAACCUAUUCAACAAUCCCUAAUAGUUGUUUGGUCAAAAGUCGUAUGUGGACCUAUAUUUGUGCAGGUCAUAUCGCUUGUUUUUCGUGAAACAGCAUUUUUGCAUUUUGUGUGUGUGUGUAUUUUUUUAAAAAAAAAUUGAAACAUAGGUUGCUUUGAGCAUGGAGUUUGUCAUAUAAGUUGGUAUUUGAUGUGCGUGGAUCACCCUAAGAACUCCAUUGGUUACUCUAGGCAUUACCUCUUCUCACAUGAGAGUAAUUUUUUUAGUUGAAGCUUUGAAUGGAUCAAAAUCAUGUUUCACCUUACCUAAUGCAAUGCGGAAAAUACCUGCACACAACUCCUACAAGCUAUUAUGAUCACUUACAAGUGUGUAGAGCUUCGUUUGGUCAUGACCUUCAAUCUCAACAUGCGGUACAUUGAACACUGCAGAUGAUCGUAGCCCGGUGCCAUUUGUGAUCUCCUUCUCACCAUAAUUAACCCUCAUUGCAGCUGACUUUACAAAAGGAUCCAAUACAUCACCGAUUACCUGGCUCAAUGCCAAAGGAUCCCUCCCUCGCGACAUAUUUCAGUAUUAUUUUUGAGCUGAUGGCUAUAGAAGACAAACUUUGUUGAUCCUCGGUUCACAACGGGAUGGGAAUACAGUGUGGUGGAAGUGCUAUCUAAUGAUAUUUCCGUGGGAAGAACAGAGCAGUUCGUCAUAAAUUUAUAUUAGUUGUGAAGCAUCCACUUUAUGUUCAUAACAUUCCAUUGAGCACUAUAAGAAGAUAGAAUCUUACUUUCACAUAAUAUUAUUAUUUUCUGUUAUAGUUGCUUCUUUGUUGCAUGGACAUGUAGAGUACCUAUCAACCUCCAGAUGGCCCAGUUGUAGUUGAAGCUGUACGAUCUUUUUGAAUGAUAUCUAUCGUCAGUUUUUCAUGCAUAUAUUCUCCAAAGAUUUGGAGGUAUGUUUAAAGCUCCAAGAGUUAGCCUCCCCUGCAUGGCGCCUUGCCUAGGCUUGGCCAAAGAUUCACGAUGAGUCAUUUCAUGUUCAACUUACUUCUCUGAGUGGUGAGCACUCAGUUGGAGAAAUAUUCUUUGGAUCAACAUCACAAUGCAAGAGUAUGAAACCUGGGGAGGUAGUGGCGGGUCAUUAGCAAUCGUCUUCUUUCUCUUUAUUUGCUUUUGCUUGAUGGCAAUAGAAGUAUCUAGUACUUCACCCUUGAGGGAAAACUAUUCCCUGGUCCUGUUCUAUGAGGGUUCGUGUGCUUAUCUCCCAUGGUCCUCAUAAAUGCGAGCUGAAUAUUAAGUUUCUUAGUGUAUUUUCUAUGGUAUGUAUAUGCUUCACCACUUGCCUAUUGAAGCUUCCCAUAGAGUGAUCUGGACAUGGCAAAUUGCCAUUGCAAAGUAUGCUUGUCUUAAAAAACUACAUAACACUAACGGGUUGAUUCCACCUGACUUUUCCUGUUAUGUUUCAGUGUCAUAGUUCCGAUUUUGAUCUUCUAAUGUCUAUUUUCAUUUUCAUACGAUCGUCAUGUAUUUAUGUGUAGCUACUUCUUUCCUUUAACAGAAUGCAGUUGUAUGCCUGUACAGGAUUAUUCAGACCAAACAGGAACCAGAGAAGCAUCUCCAUGCCUGUAUAGUAGCAUCAAUGUCUUGAUAUCAUCAGAUGGACUUAUGAUUCCUCAUGGCAUUUAAAAUCUUGCCGCAUGCAGAAAUUACACUUUUGAUGGUGCGAAUGAGCGGGCAUUUAGAAUUUUCAAGAACCGGAGGAUAGAGUACUAUCGUGAGCUUGCAUUCAAGUUGUUCGAGCAAGAACACCACAUGCUGCCUCGGCUCUCCACAUACGCGUCAAGAUCUGCGACUGCUGUAAAGGAUCCACACAGAUUUGAUUUUUUUUUCAGCAGGGAAUAAAAGGUUCAGCCUUGAAGAUCAGAUGGGCAUCUCUACCAGUACGUAGCAAGCAGAAAGGCAGAAGAUCGGCUUUGAAUUUGUGAAAGUUCUUACAUGGCAAUCGCAAGGGGGAAAAGGCACCAGGGAACCCCCCCGCACUGCAAACAGCCUACACCCAGCUUCUGUGGAUGAACUCUUUGCAGUCUUGCCGUGCCGACCGUUGGUGCCGCCUGUGCUCUCUCCAGACUUUUUGUGAGCCAGCUGGAAAUAGUGCUAAAGUUGGAUCUAUUCCAGCUAAUGGCUAAUGCUGGAGUCCUGGGGCCCUAUGCUUGCCGUCUGCCAAAGUACUUGCUAUGAGUUUGCAAGUUUGACUUUUGGCAUUGAAUCGGAUGAUUGGCAUCACCAAUUUCUCAAGUCAACUCUUCCAGUUUGAACAAUGUGCGAUGGUUCUAGAGAAUCUCCAGCUGAAACAAACAUGCCCUUAGACUGGUGGCCGGAAACAAAUCUCAAACGGAAUAGAUUGGUGAGGAUUAUUUGGGAAUCACUCCAAUGAAGACGAGGUGAAAGUCUGCAGUACACAGCGAAGUGAAUUGCAGCAGUCCAGAUGCCUACAUUACACGGUCCGUAGAGGGCAGAUGAAGCGCCAACAGCACAAGCUGAUGUUUGAUAAAUUGUGGAUUUGACCAAGAAGACACGGUCUGGCCUAGUUUCCAUGCAGAGCUGCUGGGAGCCGUUGGUUUGGCCCAACGACGCACCUUCUUUUGGGUACCCCAAAAUCAUGUUACAGAAUGGGCCUGCUUGCAGGAUCAGGACUGAGAUGACAAAACAACGUUCGUGAUCCUCUAAAAAAAACAACGUUCGUGAGGCAAAGUAUGAUGUCUAGUCUCGUGUAUUGGUUCCUCUACCCUUUUUUUUUUUUUGUCUCGUGUAUUGGUUGUGCAUUUAAUGGAACGCAUGCUAUUCAGAAGAACUCAAGAAAAUUGUACCCGAGCAAUUCCUACAAGUUCCACUGGUAAUUUCAAGUUCUUGUAUUACUUGUUCCUCCACCAGCAGGGGGAAUCAUCAGCUAAUUUUUGUUUGAGGGCUCUG